CGUCCGUCUCUUGCGCCCCGAAGGCGGAGGAGGCUUGGCAAGCCGAGGAGGCGCGCCGAGCGAGGCAGGUGGAGAGAGAAGCGAGGCGAGCGGGCAAGUACGGCGGCGGAGGCGCCCGAGUCAGCGUUGGAGGGGAUGAGGGGUGCCGAGCUUGGUUCGCGCUAUCGCAGGGAAGACCAGCGCUGCCUGGCUCUCCCUCCCUCAACUGCUGCAGACCCAGAAGAGAUGAAGGUGCAGCAGACAUAAAGACUUCUACAAGUAUCCUUUUCAGGAAUAAGGUUUUUAAUAUAUUUGUUUGUGUUGCCUUAGGAUGAUUCCGUGGCCCAAGUCUAAGAAAGUCUGAGCUUCAUCUGAACAAUGUAUACUUCCUUGUGUGAAUUCUUAAAAUUGGGUUCCGUCUUUUAAAGGUCUGCACUUGUCUCCUUCCUUAUGACUUCAAA
rnacentral:lncRNA from 1 species